CGCACAUUGCGCCCUUUGGUAUUCCAAAGGGCAUGCCUGUUCGAGCGUCAUUUGUACCCUCAAGCUUUGCUUGGUGUUGGGCGUCUUUUUGUCUCCCCUUGCGGGAGACUCGCCUUAAAGUCAUUGGCAGCCGGCCUACUGGUUUCGGAGCGCAGCACAAGUCGCGCUCUCUUCCAGCCCCAAGGUCUAGCAUCCAACAAGCCUUUUUUUCAACUUUUGACCUCGGAUCAGGUAGGGAUACCCGCUGAACUUAA
rnacentral:misc_RNA from 1 species